UACGUAGGGGGCGAGCGUUGUCCGGAUUCAUUGGGCGUAAAGAGCUCGUAGGCGGCUUGGCAAGUCGGGUGUGAAACCUCCAGGCUCAACCUGGAGACGCCACCCGAUACUGCUAUGGCUAGAGUCCGGUAGGGGACCACGGAAUUCCUGGUGUAGCGGUGGAAUGCGCAGAUAUCAGGAAGAACACCAAUGGCGAAGGCAGCUCUCUGGGACGGUACUGACGCUGAGACGCGAAAGCGUGGGGAGCGAACAGG
rnacentral:rRNA from 1 species